UACGUAGGCAGCGAGCGUUGUUCGGAAUUACUGGGCGUAAAGAGUGUGUAGGCGGUGUUCCCAGUCUGUUGUGAAAUCUCCCGGCUUAACUGGGAGGGUGCAGCGGAAACUAGAAUGCUAGAGGGUGGGAGAGGUAAGCGGAAUUCCUGGUGUAGCGGUGAAAUGCGUAGAUAUCGGGAAGAACACCCGUGGCGAAGGCGGUUCUCUGGGACGGUACUGACGCUGAGACGCGAAAGCGUGGGGAGCGAACGGG
rnacentral:rRNA from 1 species